GCACUGACAACAAUGUGCUCUCUCCAUGUCAUGCUCCCUCCCGGUUCCUACAAUUCCCAGCACAGACACAUCAUAGACAGGAUUAAUCACUACUGUAUGAUGUGUCUGUGCUGGGAAUUGUAGGAACCGGGAGAGAGUAUGACAUGGAGAGAGAACAGCACAUUGUUG